GGGAAUAAGCUAGGGGGGCGAGAAAAAAAGUUAAUGUGAAACUGUUAAAUUUCAGUUAAAUAAAUUGUUUUUAUAAUAUGAAAGUGGGUUUUUUAAAUAUGGCUACUUAUUUAGUUUUAAAUAAAAAAUUUUAUAAACUUAUUUUUAUUUAAUCUCUUAGGUCCAUGUUGUAUUUUAAUUACAUCCAUAGUUUCACAUGUAAGUUUAUUCAAGAAUAUAAGAGUUUAUAAAUUAAAUACGGAAAAUUUCAGUGAUUAAUAUUAUGUAAUAAAUUUAUGUUUUAUUUAGCUUAUGGUUUAUAGGAGGGUAAUGGUGUGCCAGCAUCCGCGGUUAUACACUAUCUUUAAAAUUAAAUCUUUUUAUAGGCUAUAACUUUAAUAAUCAUAAUAUUAUUUUCUUUCUAUAUUAAGUAAAAUUUUAUAGAGAAGGAAUUUUUUUUUAAUUAAAGUUUAAUAAAUAAAAAUUUGAACCAGGAUUAGAUACCCUGUUACUUUUUUUAAUAAUGCCUAGAAUAUUAUAUUUUUAGAAAUUUAAUGGAUUUGGCGGCAUAAUAAACCAUUUAGAGGAACCUGCUUAAUAAACGAUAGACCACGAAGGCCUUACUUUUAUUGGCAAUCAGUUUGUAUACCGCUGUUGUAUGCUAGUUUUAUUAGAAAAUUAGCAAUAAUAUUUAAAAUAAUUACUUCAAGUAAAGGUGCAGCUAAUAUAAAAGUUUAAAGUGGGUUACAAUUAAUGAAUUAAACGAAAAAAAUUUUUAAAUGAUUUUUAGAAGGUGGAUUUAAUAGUAAUUUUAAAAAUAUUUGAUAACGGCACUAUUAUGUGUACACACCGCCCGUCGCUCUCGCAAGGGAUAAGUCGUAACAAGGUAAGUGUAAUGGAAAUUGUACUUGAGAAAAU
rnacentral:rRNA from 1 species